GGCUUAGAGUUUGAUCAUGGCUCAGGAUAAACGCUGGCGGCGCACAUAAGACAUGCAAGUCGAACGAACUUAACCUUAAGUUUACUUUUGGAGCGGUUAGUGGCGGACUGGUGAGUAACGCGUAAGCAAUCUGCCUAUCAGAGGGGAAUAACAGUGAGAAAUCACUGCUAAUACCGCAUAAGCUGUGAGUAUCGCAUGAUACAAGCAGAAAAGGAGCAAUCCGCUGAUAGAUGAGCUUGCGUCUGAUUAGUUAGUUGGCGAGGUAACGGCCCACCAAGACGAUGAUCAGUAGCCGGACUGAGAGGUUGAACGGCCACAUUGGGACUGAGAUACGGCCCAGACUCCUACGGGAGGCAGCAGUCGGGAAUAUUGCGCAAUGGAGGAAACUCUGACGCAGUGACGCCGCGUGCAGGAAGAAGGUUUUCGGAUUGUAAACUGCUUUAGACUGGGAAGAAGAAGUGACAGUACCUGUAGAAUAAGCUCCGGCUAACUACGUGCCAGCAGCCGCGGUAAUACGUAGGGAGCGAGCGUUAUCCGGAUUUAUUGGGUGUAAAGGGUGCGUAGAUGGAUAUGCAAGUUGGUUGUGAAAUACCUCGGCUUAACUGAGGAACUGCAACCAAAACUGUAAAUCUUGAGUACUGGAGGGGAAAGCG
rnacentral:rRNA from 1 species